rnacentral:rRNA from 1 species
UACGUAGGUGGCAAGCGUUGUCCGGAAUUAUUGGGCGUAAAGCGCGCGCAGGUGGUUUCUUAAGUCUGAUGUGAAAGCCCACGGCUCAACCGUGGAGGGUCAUUGAAACUGGGGAACUUGAGUGCAGGAGAGAAGAGUGGAAUUCCACGUGUAGCGGUGAAAUGCGUAGAGAUGUGGAGGAACACCAGUGGCGAAGGCGACUCUUUGGCCUGUAACUGACACUGAGGCGCGAAAGCGUGGGGAGCAAACAGG